rnacentral:rRNA from 1 species
UACGGAGGGUGCAAGCGUUAUCCGGAUUCACUGGGUUUAAAGGGUGCGUAGGCGGCCUGAUAAGUCAGUGGUGAAAGCCCGCAGCUCAACUGCGGAAUUGCCAUUGAAACUGCCAGGCUUGAAUCUGGUUGAAGUGGGCGGAAUAUAUCAUGUAGCGGUGAAAUGCUUAGAUAUGAUGUAGAACACCGAUUGCGAAGGCAGCUCACUAAGCCAACAUUGACGCUGAGGCACGAAAGCGUGGGGAGCGAAC